rnacentral:rRNA from 1 species
AUGCAYGUCCGAGUACGAGCCGUGAUAAAGUGAAACCGCGAACAGCUCAUUAAAUCAGUCUUCGUUUACUGGACGGAAGGGCGACCGUAGAUGGAUAACUGCGGAAAUACUGGAGCUAAUACAUGCCAUUGACCGCGCGACGUUCGAAAGGGUGGAGCGCUGCCUUUAUUAGACCGAAAGCGACGAUACAGCUCGAUAGCCGUACCGUACCACUGGUGACUCCGAGUAACCGACAGUUGAUCGCAAGGCCGGCGUGCCCGCGACGCAUCCUUCAAGGGUCUGCCUCAUCAACUAGACGGUUCGCAAACCGCCGACCGUGGUGGCGACGGGUGACGGGGAAUUAGGGUUCGAUUCCGGAGAGGGAGCCUGAGAGAUCGCUACCACA